CGGAUAUGGUCAAAUGGUAAAAUU
rnacentral:tRNA from 1 species